GACGAACGCUGGCGGCGUGCCUAAUACAUGCAAGUCGAACGCACUCUCGUUUAGAUUGAAGGAGCUUGCUCCUGAUUGAUAAACAUUUGAGUGAGUGGCGGACGGGUGAGUAACACGUGGGUAACCUGCCCUAAAGUGGGGGAUAACAUUUGGAAACAGAUGCUAAAUACCGCAUAAAACCUAACACCGCAUGGUGUAGGGUUGAAAGAUGGUUUCGGCUAAUCACUUUAGGAUGGACCCGCGGUGCAUUAGUUAGUUGGUGAGGUAAAGGCUCACCAAGACCGUGAUGCAUAGCCGAACCUGAGAGGGUAAUCGGCCACACUGGGACUGAGACACGGCCCAGACUCCUACGGGAGGCAGCAGUAGGGAAAUCUUCCCACAAAUGGACGAAAGUCUGAUGGA
rnacentral:rRNA from 1 species